UACGAAGGGUGCAAGCGUUACUCGGAAUUACUGGGCGUACAGCGUGCGUAGGUGGUUCGUUAAGUCUGAUGUGAAAGCCCUGGGCUCAACCUGGGAAUGGCAUUGGAAACUGGCGACCUAGAGUGCGGUAGAGGGUAGUGGAAUUCCCGGUGUAGCAGUGAAAUGCGUAGAGAUCGGGAGGAACAUCUGUGGCGAAGGCGACUGCCUGGACCAGCACUGACACUGAGGCACGAAAGCGUGGGGAGCAAACAGG
rnacentral:rRNA from 1 species